rnacentral:rRNA from 1 species
UACAUAGGUCCCAAGCGUUGUUCGGAUUCAUUGGGCGUAAAGGGUGUGUAGGUGGCGCCGUAAGUCGGGUGUGAAAUUUCGGAGCUUAACUCCGAAACUGCAUUCGAUACUGCGGUGCUUGAGGACUGGAGAGGAGACUGGAAUUCAUGGUGUAGCAGUGAAAUUCGUAGAUAUCGGGAGGAACAACAGUGGCGAAGGCGGCGAUCUGGGAAGAUACUGACGCUGAGGUGCGAAAGCGUGGGGAGCAAAAAGG